GGGCAUGUGGUGUAGUUGGUUAUCACGCUCGCUUAGCAUUUGUGUAUUCAACUGGCUGAAACUGCGAGAGGGGUCCGGUUCAAUCCCGGACAUGUCCA